CAGGGAGACAACAUAAUGAUUUUGAUGCCUGAGUACUUUUAUUCUUAGGCCGAAAUCCUGUCACCUUAGGUCGAUCGGUACCUCAGCUUUGAAGUUAAGGAUCAGCAGCAAUGUUGAUUGCUUGAUGGAGAUUUUCAGUUCCUAAACUUUGUCUAGGUCACACCCCAAAAGGGAUGAGACUCCUGGGCCAUUAGCUCAGGUGGUUAGAGCGCACCCCUGAUAAGGGUGAGGUCCCUGGUUCAAGUCCAGGAUGGCCCAUUCGGUGUUGGGGGUUUAGCUCAGUUGGUAGAGCGCCUGCUUUGCAAGCAGGAUGUCAGGAGUUCGAGUCUCCUAACCUCCACUGACCGAACUUGAUUCCCAUCUCCAAUUUUUUGGAGUUGAGCUCGAUUGGAGUGUGAUUUAGAUGUGUCCGCUGGAUGACCCCAGCUUCCUAUCAUUCCAAGCUUUAGUUUAAAGCCUUAAAUUUGGUUGAUAAGAUGCUGGGCUCAGGUCAGAUGAUCAAGCAAUUGAUGAUUUGAUUUGAAGUUCUAGCAGAACCUUGACAACUGCAUAGGUGAGUCUGGAAAAAACAAAGCAUCUUACAGAUGCAUUGUUUUGAAUCUGAUCUUCUAAAAGUGAGAUUAGAUCUAGAACAAUGAAAAUUCUUUUGAGCAAGAGCCGAGACUCUAAACGUCUUUGAUUCCUUGUCGAGCGAGUCAGAAGAUUUGAUCUUGGUUUUUAUCAAUAAAAAACCUGAAGAAAUAUGCGUCAACGGUGGUAAGCGUUAAGAGAAAAAUAAAAUAG
rnacentral:tRNA from 1 species